rnacentral:rRNA from 1 species
CAGUCAUGCUAGUGAAAAAUCAGUUUGGCGGGUUUUGAGUUCGGGAGUAGAGGCAGGGUCAAACCGUUUCUCUUUUGGACUUGGGAUUUGUCGGAUGUACUUUUUCUUUAGCAGGUCAGCGUCGGUUUCGGAGGUUGCAAAAUACUUGGGGGAAAGUAGCUCUGCUUCGGGAGAGUAUUAUAGACCCUGGGGGAUGCAGCCUGCGGGAUCGAGGAUUGCAGCAAAUGCUUUUUGGCUUGUCGCCUGAUCUCUGGAUGUUACCUCUCCUGUGACAACAUUCUUGCCACCGGGGAGUACUAAUGCCCAUUAGGUUAGAACGAUCAAAAAUUCGUUAAGGAUGUUGACGUA